rnacentral:rRNA from 1 species
UACGUAGGGGGCAAGCGUUGUCCGGAUUUAUUGGGCGUAAAGAGCGUGUAGGCGGUCAUGUAGGUCCGUUGUGAAAACUCGAGGCUCAACCUCGAGACGCCGAUGGAAACCCUCUGGCUAGAGUCCGGAAGAGGAGAGUGGAAUUCCCGGUGUAGCAGUGAAAUGCGUAGAGAUCGGGAGGAACAUCUGUGGCGAAGGCGGCCAUCUGGACCAGCACUGACACUGAGGCACGAAAGCGUGGGGAGCAAACAGG